GUCAGCGGCGGACGGGUGAGUAACACGUGGGUAACCUGCCUGUAAGACUGGGAUAACUCCGGGAAACCGGGGCUAAUACCGGAUGCUUGAUUGAACCGCAUGGUUCAAUCAUAAAAGGUGGCUUUUAGCUACCACUUACAGAUGGACCCGCGGCGCAUUAGCUAGUUGGUGAGGUAACGGCUCACCAAGGCGACGAUGCGUAGCCGACCUGAGAGGGUGAUCGGCCACACUGGGACUGAGACACGGCCCAGACUCCUACGGGAGGCAGCAGUAGGGAAUCUUCCGCAAUGGACGAAAGUCUGACGGAGCAACGCCGCGUGAGUGAUGAAGGUUUUCGGAUCGUAAAACUCUGUUGUUAGGGAAGAACAAGUACCGUUCGAAUAGGGCGGUACCUUGACGGUACCUAACCAGAAAGCCACGGCUAACUACGUGCCAGCAGCCGCGGUAAUACGUAGGUGGCAAGCGUUGUCCGGAAUUAUUGGGCGUAAAGCGCGCGCAGGCGGUUUCUUAAGUCUGAUGUGAAAGCCCCCGGCUCAACCGGGGAGGGUCAUUGGAAACUGGGGAACUUGAGUGCAGAAGAGGAGAGUGGAAUUCCACGUGUAGCGGUGAAAUGCGUAGAGAUGUGGAGGAACACCAGUGGCGAAGGCGACUCUCUGGUCUGUAACUGACGCUGAGGCGCGAAAGCGUGGGGAGCGAACAGGAUUAGAUACCCUGGUAGUCCACGCCGUAAACGAUGAGUGCUAAGUGUUAGAGGGUUUCCGCCCUUUAGUGCUGCAGCAAACGCAUUAAGCACUCCGCCUGGGGAGUACGGUCGCAAGACUGAAACUCAAAGGAAUUGACGGG
rnacentral:rRNA from 1 species